rnacentral:rRNA from 1 species
GGGUCAGUAGGUUGGUCGUGCCACCGGUACGUACUGGUCUCACUGAUUCCUCCUUCCUGAGGAACCGUAAUGCCAUUAAUUUGGUGUUGCGGGGAAACAGGACUGUUACUUUGAAAAAAUUAGAGGGUUUAAAGCAAGCUAACGCUUGAAUACAUUAGCAUGGAAUAAUGAAAUAGGACGAUCGAUCCUAUUUUGUUGGUUUCUAGGAUUGACGUA